AGGAGCUUCCGUCUUUCAAUAUAAGUUACUUAAACUUGCUAAGAAGACGUUACAAGUGUGUUAUAAAAGUGUCCCUUAGUUUGAUCCUGGAAAAAAAUCACCUUUCAUCCUAAAGCAGGCAUGCCAAAGAACAAUCUGUUUUGCUACAUGGGGUGCUCUUCCUACCUGCUGAAGUGGGGAACAAACGGCUCAAAUGCCCUGGAGAAUAUCCAGGGCCACUGGGCAUUCCAAGCGGCUCCUUUGCAAAGUGUAGUUUUGAGGAAUGGUAGUUGGCUUACUCUACACCUGUGGAAGCCCCCAAAACCAAAACCCGUUUUUUGUAGUGCACCAAAAAAAGAACUACUGGGCACUGGAACAUUAGAGAUGAGCAUUUAAGAGUUUUUUUUUUUUUUUUUCUUGGUGUUUUUAGGGUAAUUUUUUUUUCACAUGGAAACAAAUGAGAAUUUCAAAUAAUUUAUGGUGCGUUACUGCUUUAUGAUCUUUAGAAUAAAAUACAGUCACUAAAGGUUUUUGUUUUUGACUCCUGACUGGCCAGAAAGUGAUGCCUAUUAAAAACAGUCCAUGGAUAUGGGAAGUACCAACUCUCUCCAAUGACCUUGAAAACACGUAUCUGGAAUCACAGGGAGCCCAGCCCCUGAAGCAACCAGGGCCACCGUGUGGAAACCCCCUCACCAGGAACCGACGCGAAUGCCCUGGGCUUGUGUACAAGAGGGACCUAGCAAGUUACAGGGGAGACUGCGGCGAUCCCAGCAGUCACACAAAAGUGAUCCUGACAGAGCAAGCUACCUGCUCCAGGCCAUUCAAUACAUUUAUCAGCGUCGCUGUUCUGCCUUUCGCAUAAAGAGAGAAAUGAGAAAACCGUAGCACACAGAAAUGGAAGUGGUGGUGCCGUGACAGAGAUCCAGGUGGUCUAGCUCUACAGUCUCAACUCUUAACACCCCGCCAUAGUGCUUUUUGUGUAGCCUAGUAACAGUAAAGCACUUACUUGUAAGCAAGCGCUUGCUAUGUGCCAGGAGUCAUUCUAAAUGCUUUGCAUAUGUAACUCAUUUAAUCCCUGCAACAAUCCUGUAAGACAGGAACGAUCCCCAUUUAUGGAGGAGAAAACUAGAACACAGGGAAGUUAAAUGACUUGGCCAAAGUCACCAAGCCCGGAAAUGGAAGAGCUGACAUUUGAAUCCAGGUGAUGUGGCUCCAAGCCCACGUUAAAAACUACCUAACUCUCUAAGCUUAUUUGGUCGUUUGGCAGGACAUCAAAUUAAAUUUAUGACUAAAUUUUAAAAAGUUUCACAGUAGUUAAGCACGCAGGCACUGAGCAAAAGCAUGGAACCUUUAUUUCCCAGCUGUGUGACCUUGUACAAGUUACUUAACCUCUCUGUGUCUUGCUGGCGUCAACUGAAAAAUGAGGACAACUUUCAACCUGUGAAUUAAAUAUCAUUGAAUCAUAGAUAAUGUACUUGUACAAUUUUCAGAUGACAUAAAACUAGUACAGAGUAAAAUUAUACAAAUGAUGAUGGUAUGAAACACACAGGCCAAUAUCUGGCCCAGAGCAAUCACUUAAUAAACAUUAGCUAUUGCUUUUGUACUGUUAUUAUUAUAAUCACCUUUAUAAUCUCACUCUACCUGCAUAUGUAUAGCUAGCCCUUGGAAC